AUUGAACGCUGGCGGCAGGCUUAACACAUGCAAGUCGAGCGGUAGCACAGGGGAGCUUGCUCCCUGGGUGACGAGCGGCGGACGGGUGAGUAAUGUCUGGGAAACUGCCUGAUGGAGGGGGAUAACUACUGGAAACGGUAGCUAAUACCGCAUAACGUCGCAAGACCAAAGAGGGGGACCUUCGGGCCUCUUGCCAUCAGAUGUGCCCAGAUGGGAUUAGCUAGUAGGUGGGGUAAUGGCUCACCUAGGCGACGAUCCCUAGCUGGUCUGAGAGGAUGACCAGCCACACUGGAACUGAGACACGGUCCAGACUCCUACGGGAGGCAGCAGUGGGGAAUAUUGCACAAUGGGCGCAAGCCUGAUGCAGCCAUGCCGCGUGUGUGAAGAAGGCCUUCGGGUUGUAAAGCACUUUCAGUGAGGAGGAAGGUGGUGAGCUUAAUACGCUCAUCAAUUGACGUUACUCGCAGAAGAAGCACCGGCUAACUCCGUG
rnacentral:rRNA from 1 species